AUUGAACGCUGGCGGCAGGCCUAACACAUGCAAGUCGAGCGGAUGAAGGGGGCUUGCUCCUGGAUUCAGCGGCGGACGGGUGAGUAAUGCCUAGGAAUCUGCCUGGUAGUGGGGGAUAACGUCCGGAAACGGGCGCUAAUACCGCAUACGUCCUGAGGGAGAAAGUGGGGGAUCUUCGGACCUCACGCUAUCAGAUGAGCCUAGGUCGGAUUAGCUAGUUGGUGGGGUAAAGGCCUACCAAGGCGACGAUCCGUAACUGGUCUGAGAGGAUGAUCAGUCACACUGGAACUGAGACACGGUCCAGACUCCUACGGGAGGCAGCAGUGGGGAAUAUUGACGAUGGGCGAAAGCCUGAUCCAGCCAUGCCGCGUGUGUGAAGAAGGUCUUCGGAUUGUAAAGCACUUUAAGUUGGGAGGAAGGGCAGUAAGUUAAUACCUUGCUGUUUUGACGUUACCAACAGAAUAAGCACCGGCUAACUUCGUGCCAGCAGCCGCGGUAAUACGAAGGGUGCAAGCGUUAAUCGGAAUUACUGGGCGUAAAGCGCGCGUAGGUGGUUCAGCAAGUUGGAUGUGAAAUCCCCGGGCUCAACCUGGGAACUGCAUCCAAAACUACUGAGCUAGAGUACGGUAGAGGGUGGUGGAAUUUCCUGUGUAGCGGUGAAAUGCGUAGAUAUAGGAAGGAACACCAGUGGCGAAGGCGACCACCUGGACUGAUACUGACACUGAGGUGCGAAAGCGUGGGGAGCAAACAGGAUUAGAUACCCUGGUAGUCCACGCCGUAAACGAUGUCGACUAGCCGUUGGGAUCCUUGAGAUCUUAGUGGCGCAGCUAACGCGAUAAGUCAACCGCCUGGGGAGUACGGCCGCAAGGUUA
rnacentral:rRNA from 1 species